GAGGGUAUAGCUCAAAGUGGUAGAGCACAAGAUUAGCAUGCACGAGGCCCUGAGUUCAAUUCCCAGUACCUCCU
rnacentral:tRNA from 1 species